GAACCAUUCCGUGUGCAAAUACGGCGAAGCCUACGUCAAGUCGUCAACUGGUAGUAUCGUGUACUGGAGAAGCGAAUGGGGAAGCGUCAGCAGCAGCGGCGGCUCGUCCGCUUCGCCGUCGCCGCCGCCGUCGUUGUCGCGGCGGCCCUCAUCCUGACCGCUUCGGCCAAGAAGUCCGGAGAUGUCACGGAGCUUCAGAUCGGUGUGAAGUACAAGCCAGAGUCAUGCACCCUGCAAGCUCACAAAGGAGACAAAAUCAAAGUGCAUUAUCGUGGGUCACUCACUGAUGGAUCAGUGUUUGAUUCUAGCUAUGACAGAGGUGACCCCUUUGAAUUUACUCUUGGAAACGGCCAAGUGAUAAAAGGUUGGGACCAAGGGUUACUAGGUAUGUGUGUCGGUGAAAAGAGGAAGCUAAAGAUACCUGCAAAGAUGGGUUAUGGGGAGAGAGGCUCCCCACCGAAGAUUCCAGGUGGAGCAACACUAAUCUUUGACACGGAGCUUAUCGCCGUCAAUGGAAAGACAACCGGUGGUGCUAGCAAUAGUGAGCUCUAAGGUCGUCUUUGAUGUUCCACACAACGAAGAGUUAGCUUGUGUAGCGCCUCCUCAAAACAGCGGUUCAGUGGUCCUUUUAAGAGUUCAGUCAAAAAAGGAUGCUGUUUCCUUCAUGUUCAUCGUGUUACUUCGAAGUUCAAAAAUCUGAAAAAUCUGCCUUGUCGCAAUGGUCUUGGAGUCUUCAACGUAUUUGCACUGCAGCUGUUAGCAAAGAUCAUCAGAUCCUCGGGUGAAAUGAGCGUGGAAUUUACAUGUAACUUAGUACUACAUUCAUCCUAAAAUAUAGCAACUUUUAACUAUGCACUAUUUCCAUUACAUAUUAUAAGUCGUUUUGACUUUGGUCAAAGUCAAACUAUUCCAAGUUCAAGUUUGUAUACAAAUACAGUAACACUUACAAUACCAAAUUAGUUUUAUCAAAUCUAUAA